GACGAACGCUGGCGGCGUGCCUAAUACAUGCAAGUCGAACGCUUCUUUCCUCCCGAGUGCUUGCACUCAAUUGGAAAGAGGAGUGGCGGACGGGUGAGUAACACGUGGGUAACCUACCCAUCAGAGGGGGAUAACACUUGGAAACAGGUGCUAAUACCGCAUAACAGUUUAUGCCGCAUGGCAUAAGAGUGAAAGGCGCUUUCGGGUGUCGCUGAUGGAUGGACCCGCGGUGCAUUAGCUAGUUGGUGAGGUAACGGCUCACCAAGGCCACGAUGCAUAGCCGACCUGAGAGGGUGAUCGGCCACACUGGGACUGAGACACGGCCCAGACUCCUACGGGAGGCAGCAGUAGGGAAUCUUCGGCAAUGGACGAAAGUCUGACCGAGCAACGCCGCGUGAGUGAAGAAGGUGUUCGGAUCGUAAAACUCUGUUGUUAGAGAAGAACAAGGACGUUAGUAACUGAACGUCCCCUGGCGGUAUCUAACCAGAAAGCCACGGCUAACUACGUG
rnacentral:rRNA from 1 species